GAUGAACGCUGGCGGCGUGCCUAAUACAUGCAAGUCGAGCGAACAGACGAGGAGCUUGCUCCUCUGACGUUAGCGGCGGACGGGUGAGUAACACGUGGAUAACCUACCUAUAUGACUGGGAUAACUUCGGGAAACCGGAGCUAAUACCGGAUAAUAUAUUGAACCGCAUGGUUCAAUAGUGAAAGACGGUUUUGCUGUCACUUAUAGAUGGAUCCGCGCCGCAUUAGCUAGUUGGUAAGGUAACGGCUUACCAAGGCAACGAUGCGUAGCCGACCUGAGAGGGUGAUCGGCCACACUGGAACGGAGACACGGUCCAGACUCCUACGGGAGGCAGCAGUAGGGAAUCUUACGCAAUGGGCGGAAGCCUGACGGAGCAACGCCGCGUGAGUGAUGAAGGUCUUCGGAUCGGAAAACUCUGUUAUUAGGGAAGAACAAAUGUGUAAGUAACUAUGCACGUCUUGACGGUACCUAAUCAGAAAGCCACGGCUAACUACGUG
rnacentral:rRNA from 1 species